rnacentral:lncRNA from 1 species
ACCUAUCAUCACCUUAUCACUUUGUAUAUUUUCAGCCAUGUAUGAGCCACUGCAACAACAAAAGAAAAGGAAUGCGAAUAAAGACAUUGGUUAUUAAAGACAGGUGGAAUACACACAAGGAGCUGAAAUGGCUAUUGGACAUAUCGAAUGAGAGCUUGGAUAAUUCCAAAAUUAGUACAGAUAUCAAUAAAUUAAAGCAAGUAAAGACAGAAAAGUGUCAAUGUGUUGGAGAGAUUUAUCUAGCAUUAAGGUUAUUGAGGUUUAUAUUACAACAAAUAUUGUCAUUUUUUCACAUUUUUCAUAGAAAUUAAAGUUAUUGCAGAAAAAAAAUUUGAGGUUUACCUUAUAAUCUAUUAGCACAAAAGUCCCCAACUCCUUGAAAUAACUUAUUUGUAUCUCAAAAAAGUUAAAAUCUACAUUGAACCUAAAUUAUCUCGGUAUUUUUUUUAUUUUCCAUCCGAUAUUUAACUUGAUAUUUAUUUGCUUUCACAUUUAUUUCUUAUAAUGAUUGUCAGGUGAAAAUAUUAUUUCGAGAGAGUACCUGGACAUUUCCGACUACCGACAUAUCUCAUCCUAUCAUCCAUCUCUAAAUCAUUUAGACGAGGAUAAGAAGAGUACCUGGAGAAGUGGAGAGACGAGGACCGGCAUAUCUCAUCCUGUCAUCCAUCCCUAAAUCAUUUAUACGAGGAUAAGAAGAGUACCUGGAGAAGUGGAGUGACGAGAUGGCGAUAGGAGGGAGACCGACGACUGGUGGAAGUAGACGACGACGAGCGGAGGCGGAAAGGAUUGGUGGCCACUGGCUGCUGCUUUAAGUGUUAGGGUUUCAGUUCUCUGUUCUCACUUUCUGUCUUUCUCUAGAGAGUAGAGACUACUGACUAUAGAGCAUAGAAUGAGGAAUAGGAAAUUAGGAAUUAGAAUAUUAGAUAAUUAGUUUUGUGGUCGAGUAGAGAUAGUACAGAACAUACGGGGGGUGGGGGUGUUUGUUUAAUUAUUUUUUAAAUUUUGUAUUUUUAUUAUACACUUAUACUUAUUCAUUUUUAAGGUUUUUAGUUUUUUAUAUUUUUGAUAUAUAUAAUUAUAUAAAUAAAAAUAAAUUAUAUAUAUAUAUAUAUAUAUAUAUAUAUAUUCUUAAUGGGUUAACGGAUUACCCGUUAAGAAAAUUGAAUAAUCCGCCCCCUAAUCCGAUAAGCCGUUAAUAAAAAAAAAUUAAUCUGUUCCCCGUCCGUUAAGCCGUUAAGCCGUUACCAGUAUGCCAUUAAGCUUCAGUUUCAGAUAGGUUUUCGGUUUCGGAUCGGUUUUGAACACCCCUAAUUGGUGGUGUAGAAUGAAUAAAGACAUUGUUGCAUAUGUGGCUCGUUGUCUGAAUUGUCAGCAGGUUAAGUACGAGCAUCANNNNNNNNNNNNNNNNNNNNNNNNNNNNNNNNNNNNNNNGUUUGAAUUCUCAGCAGGUUAAGUACAAGCAUUAGAGGCCCGGUGGGUUAUUUCAGAGGAUUGAGCUUCCCGCGUGGAAGUGGGAGAGAAUCACCAUGGAUUUUGUUACUGGCCUUCCGAUGACUCGGAAGAAGUUUGAUGCUAUAUAGGUUAUUGUGGAUAGGCUGACAAAGUCAGCGCUUUUUAUCCCAGUUGCCACCACCUAUUCGUCCGAGAGGUAUGCUGAGAUUUAUAUCAGAGAGAUCGUUCGCCUUCAUGGGGUGCCUAUAUCUAUUAUUUCAGACCGGGGUCUACAGUUUACCUCGCAUUUCUGGAGAGCGGUGCAGCACGAGUUGGGCACCUAGGUCCAGUUGAGUACAACAUUUCACCCCCAGACGGGCGGUCAGUCCGAGAGGACUAUUCAGAUUCUUGAGGAUAUGCUCCGAGCAUGCGUUAUUGAUUUUAGAGGCUCGUGGGAUCAGUUCUUGCCUUUAAUAAAGUUUGCCUACAACAACAGCUACUAGUCCAGUAUUUAGAUGGCUCCGUAUAAGGCAUUGUAUGGUAGGCUGUGUCGGUCCCCAAUCGGAUGGUUUGAGCUGGGAGAGGCUCGGUUAUUGGGUACAGAUUUGGUACAGAAGGCCUUGGAUAAGGUCAAGAUCAUUCAGGACAUACUUCAAUCAGCAUAGUCUUGGCAGAAGAGUUAUGCAGAUCCUAAGGUCAGGGAUGUUGCUUUCAUGGUUGGUGAGCGAGUAUUGCUCCAUGUAUUGCCUAUGAAGGGCGUGAUUAGACUCGGGAAGAUGGGAAAGCUUAAGACCUAGGUAUAUUGGCCCAUUGCAGAUUCUUGACCGUGUGGGGAAGGUGGCUUAUAGACUUGCCUUGCCGCCUAGCUUGUCAGCCGUGCAUCCGGUUUUUCAUGUAUCCAUGCUUUGAAAGUAUCACGUCGAACCCGCCCACGUGUUAGAUUUUAGUACUGUCCAAUUGGACAAGGAUCUGUCAUAUGAGGAGGAGCCGGUGGCUAUUUUAGACCGGCAAGUUGGACAGUUGAGGUCGAGGAGUUUUUCUUUAAUGUGUGUUUAGUGGAGAGAUCAGCCUCCUGAGGCAUCGACGUGGGAGUCUGAGUUUGAUAUGCCGAGCCGCUAUCCCCGUCAAUUCCCCCACUCAGGUACUUCUUUCUUUUGUUCGAGGACGAACAUUUGUUUUAGAGGCGGAGGAUGUGACGACCCGAAGGGUCAUCACCGUAAUUCUCAUUUUUUUUAUGCUUUCAAGGCCUUAAAAAUCUCUUAUUUGGUUGUCUCAAUUGCGUGCGUAGUAUGGGUGCGAAGCCAGAAAUUUUUUUAUGUUGAAAUAUUUGAAUUCUAUGUUAAAAACUAUGAGUUUUUAUAAUAAUAUUGCUAUAGUUGAUUUUGGUCAAUAUUUUGGGUAAACGGACCCAGACCCAUGAUGUUACGGUCCCGGAGGGUCCAUAGGUAAAUUUGGGACCCGGGCAUAUUCCCGUAAUCGAAAUUCGAGGUCCAAGGCCCGAGUAUGGAACUUUUUCAUGAAAUUUUUUCUGAAAAUGCUUCAGGAAAAAAUGAAUAUGUGAUUUGAUCAAAUGUAAUGGUAUCUGGCUCGUAUUUUGGAUCUGACGCCCGGUACAAGUCCUAAAUGAGCGUUAAGCGCUAUCGGUAAAGUUUAGUCGAAAAUGGACGUCAUUUGACGUGUUUCGGACUAAAAAUGAAAAAUUUUGAAAUUUUGAACUUUGAAAUGAAAAUCAUGAGUAUUGGAGGCUGAUUCUUUGAUUUUGAUGUUAUUUUGGCGAUUUGAUCGCUCGAGAAAGUUCGUAGGAUGAUAUUGAGUUAGUGUGUGUGGUUGGUUGGGAGACCCGAAGGCUCGCGAGUAUUUUCGGGGGUGGUUCAGGAUAUUUUUGACUUUUUGAACUUGGCAGAUUUCUGCAAUUUUUGCAUAGAUAUUUUGUUCUCUGCGAUUACAUUAAGCCCUCCGUGAUCGCAUAAGGCUGCCUUCAGGUGAUUGGAAAUUCUUCUAUGCGAUCAAAUAGUUUGACCCACGAACGCAUAGCUUGGCCAGUCAUUUCAGUGCGAUCGCAUUCCCUACAUCGUGAUCGCAUAGUGUUCAGACCCCACCCAGACCAGGCCCCGUCUUUCUUCGACGGGAAAGCGUACUUUCCCCUACGAUUGCAUUGGCCAACUUUCCCCAUCUCUAUGCGAUCGUAAUCCUGUUCUUGCGAUCGUAUAGGCCAAUUUCCUUCAGCGAUUUAAUUUAGUCCAGAACAGUGUUUUUUCCGAACUUCUUGAAAAAUUCUCUCACGAGCUCUCCCCAUACACUCUCCAUUGACGAACUCGAAGCCUCUACUUCACCAUAACUCUUUCGGUAAGCGAUUCCAACUUCAUUCUUCCAUUAUUUCUUCAUCUAAUCAUCAAUUUUCUAGCCCUAAAGCCUGAAAUCAUAGUAGAAUUUAGGGGUUUUUGGGUAUAGCUAGGGCUUUUGGUAUUUUGGGUAAUUCGACCUCAAUUUGAGGUCGAAUCUUAAAUCUAAUUAUAUAUUUGAGCUCGUGGGGUUAUGAGUAAUCAGAAUUUGGUCCGCGCCUCGAGUUUGGACCAUGUGGACCCGCUGUCGGAUUUUUGUAUUUUUGGAAGAAAGUUAGGAAAUGCAUUUCUAAGCUAGGAAAUUGUAUCCUUGUGCUAUUAUUGAUAAUACUGAAUUGAUUUAUGUUAGAUAUCGUGGGUUCGGGGUCGAUUUUUAGAGGAAACGCGAUUAUUGAGCUUUGAGUUGCUAUUUUCAGAUUCGAGAUAAGUGUUCGAUCUAACUUUGGCUUGAGGGAAUAGGAUUAGGAUAAUAUUUGCUACGUGCUAUGUGGAGUCAGUGUAUAAGUAUGGUGACGGUUACCUAUGCGCCCGGUCUAGCAUGACCGUGAGUCAUAUUUGCUAUUAAAAUUUCGAAAGAAGUGGACAAUUAUGAUAAUUACUUGUUAAAUGAACUAAGAAGUGAUAGCUGAGAAGCAAAUGAACUAAAGAAGGAAUUUUGGUAUUUUUCACUUGCCGGACUUAUUGUUAAGCUGUUUUCCCUUGCCGGGACUUAUUGUUGAGCUGUAUUCCCUUGUCGGGACUUAUUGUUGAGUUAUUCUCCCUUGCCAGGAUAUUUUAUCUUGUUAUAUAUUCCUUUCCCGUUUUGUUGUGACCAUUGAUUGGGUGAGGAAGAGAGAGAUUAUGCACGAAGGGUCUUUCUGUGCCAUGGGAUAUCUUAUCUUGUUAUAUAUUCCUUUCCCGUUUGGUUGCGACCAUUGAUUGGGUGAGGAAGAGAGAGAUUAUGCACGAAGGGUCUUUCCGUGCCAUGUUUCUUGAUUAUUUGAGCACGAAGGUUUAUUCUGUGCCUUAAUGUGAGAGUUAUGUGAGGAAAGCACGAAGGGUGAUGUUGUGCACUAUGUAUUGAGAGUAAAAGCCCGAAGGGUGAUUCCGUGCACUGUGUUUUGAGAGUAAAAGCACGAAGGGUGAUGCCCUGCAUUAUAUUUGACAGUUCUGGUGAGAAAUGAGAGUGAAAGCACGAAGGGUGGUGCCGUGCAAUUGUUGAUUCACUGGAUUAUUCUAUUAAUGUUAUAUAUUUAGUUCCAUUUCUUGUUCGUUGGACUAAUAAUUGAACGAUUACGCCCCCAGCAUGUCCCCUCCCCAUUAUUUGUUUAAAUUUUGUUAUCUUCCCGUUAUUGCACAUAUAUCUGUACAGGUUGAUUGUGGUAGAUCCGAUUUAGCCUCGUCGCUACCCGGCGGGGUUAGUCAGGGCACUUACCAGCACAUGGGGUCGGUUGUACUGAUACUGCACUUCUGUGCCCUUUAGUGCACAGGUCAGGACACAACAUAAGGACCGCAACAGUAGCUAGGGAGUGAUCCUUCAGUCUAGAGACUCCGAGGUGGUUCGCCGGCGUUCGCGGGCCUGAGUCUCAUGUAUUACUUUCUGUGUGUUUUAUUGUAUCAAAAACAGACUUGUCAUACAUUUCUUUCAGACUGAUGUUUGUAGAACUCUGUUAGUAGUCCGUGAGUAGUGACGUCAGAUACUGGGUAGUGCUAUGUUAUAGUCUUUCGCACUUUGCUAAUAUUUUUGUUAAAAUUCUUCCACGCAUUUUAUUUAAUUAUUGUAGAUGCAUGUUACAAGUUCAUCAUUUUUUACUAUUGUUGUUUCACUAUUGUGGCUAAAAGUCUUCCGCGUGAUUUUAAUGAAUUAUUACAGUAUUUAUAUUGUUUUAGAUUAAGGUUGUGUUAAAAUGUUUAAAACGGGUUGGCUUGUUUAGCUUCGAUAGUGGGCGCCAUCACGACUCCCGAUGGUGGGAAAAUCGGGGUCGUGAUAUUAUUAAUAUUCAGUUGGCAUAGCUGGUUUGGUCAUAUCAAUUUAAGUAUGAUGUGCAAAAAUAAAAGAGAAUUCACAUGGGUAAAUAUUGAAGAACUAGAAAGUUCUGUACGGAUUCUCUAAUGUUGCUUGUUCUUAUUAAUUAAUUGACCAACUAAAAUUGAGAUUUAAUCCCAUGAAUGCUGGAAAUAUCAAAGGUGAAUAUUGACCCAUUCACCUGCCAUGUAUACCACAUAAGAUGCAUCUAUGAGAUGGUUACAUAUGUGAUUAUUAGCCUGCAACCUAGCCAGUGCUUGCGAGGUAACUUGCUCAGUAAUUUAAUUUCGAGCAUAAUUUCCAGAUUUUCUAUUCAAGACAGUUUAUCUUGAUAAGUUGGUUUACAUCACUGUUGGUUUAGCAAAAUAAUUUAUUGAGUACCUCCACUCAAUAGCUAAACUAUUUCUUAUGAGAACAAAGUUAUCUAUAUCAGUUUGAUAUUCGUUAUAUACGAAAGUAUACUAUAUUCUCCCCUCACAAGUGGUUCAGGGUCAGGAACCAAAUAAUUUCAUCUUAUUAUUAUUGUUGUGCAGUGUAUAUUAAUAUGAUAAUGCACAAGUAUGUAUUCCCAAAGUUGAAGAAACAAGUUAGUUUUUCUAACAUGAGGGGGAGACAUGAUAAACAGUUGAGAAAAACUACGUGGAUCGGAUUAUCAUUUGUAUAUAUAGAUCCUCGAAUAUCAUAAUAUGAACUUGAAGUUCAAAAAAGAUAAUACGUUUGCAAUAUGUUGCAAAGCAUGCCAUACGCAUUUGCUGACCCAAAGAAAGUAACUAUAUUCUCAUUGCAAAUGGAUCUUUAGUCUGUCGAAUAUAGACACAAAAAUAUUGGCCAAAUGGAAGAGACACAAUUCAAGUAGAAUUGAUUCCAUAUGAAAGGCAUGUAAUCUUGGACCUGUAGUUCAAACACUUAAAAGUAUAAACUCAAUGGUAUGUGCAAUCAGUUUUCGUUAUCUUACAUGUCUAGCAUGACAUGAAAAAAACUUGAUAUGCAUCUAAAGUCUAUUAUAUGGCUUAUAUGGCUUAAUUUAUAGGACAAUCCAUGAAAAAUUUAAGUUGAUUAAAGCAUAUACAAUUCUUGAUCCUUAAGCAUCACUUUCUUAAUUAGUGCAAUUUGUGCGCAUUUUUAUCUUGCUAUAAUUAUAAGCAUGAUAAUAUGAUAGAGAGAAUCUUUAUGGAGAUAUUGAAGAGUCAUUCUACGAUAUUUGUGAAGACAUUAUAUAUCUAUCACGACUCAUGAUUUUAAUGUGCAAAAUAUUCAUUCAAGUUAAUAUGGCUGAUUUGUUUAUCAAAUCUCUACCAAAGAUCUUUUGAAGAAUAUAUCUAUCACGACUCAUGAUUUUAAUGUGCAAAAUAUUCAUUCAAGUUAAUAUGGCUGAUUUGUUUAUCAAAUCUCUACCAAAGAUCUUUUGAAGAUGGUGCACAUGAUUGAAAUGUGAAGGCGCAAGGAUGUGAAUUGAUGCUCUUAUCAGGGGGAGUUAAUGUGGGUUGCACACUUUUUUCCUUAUAAGGUUUUGUCCCACUGGGUUUUCCUUGCAAGGUUUUUAACGAGGCAACCAAAAGGGGCAUUUCUAAACAUGUGUACUCUUUUUCCUUUCUAGAUUUUUUUCCCAUGAGGUUUUAUUUUAGUUAGGUUUUAACGAGGCACAUUAUCUGUUGAAUAGACAUUCAGGGGGAGUGUUAUAAAUAGAAUUCUAUUUAUGGUGGAUGUCUAUAUUUAGAGAGACUCUAGGAUUUAUUAUUUGGUGGCUAAGUUACCCUCUCCAUAUAAAUAGAGGGUCUGCAAUAAUGUUCUUCUUCUUUAAUUGUUUCAUAACAUUUUAAUAUAAUUUCAAUUGCUAUUACUUUCAGUUUUUGAACUAAUUGUGUCAGAUUAAAAAUCGGAACUAUUUAAUAUAUUAUGAGAAAUGGUAUCGCUGAUACUCACAGAGCUCGUUUGGAUUGAACUAAAAAAAAAUAGUAGCUGUUUAAAAGUGUUUUUCAAGUGCUUGAGUUGGUUUUAUAAAUAAGCAGUUAUGUUUUUAGAUAAAAGUGCUAAAGUUGAAAUUAAGUUGUUGAAAUGGUAAGCAAGUGCUGGUAAGCACUUUUUUAUUGUUAAAAUAACUGGAAUGUCCUUAAAGUUGUUAACAUUAUAAAGAAGCUUAUUACUAUAAUAUUAUAUUUUAAACUUAUUAAUAUAAAUAAUAAUUAAUAUUAGAAUUGAUCACCUAAAAUAAUUUUUAUAAAUAUAAUUGUUAAACUCUUAUUUUUCACUUCUUUCAACCAUGUAAAUUUUUUAUUUUUUUUCUUGAAAUUCCAAGAUUACUGGGGAAAUAUAUGAACUGUGUGAUUAUUAAUAUAAGAAAAUAAUAUGAAAUGAAAAGAAAACAAUUGGGAAAUACUUUAGAUAAUCACAGCUAGUGAGUGGUGGUGGACAUAAAAAAUAAAGUAAAAACUCAAAAUUUGAAUCAAAUCAAGUGUUACCAACUAGAGAAGAACCAGAAAGUAAAACAGUAAAAUGAAGAUAUACAACGGAGAAAGUCGCAAGAAUAGAUAACGGGAAAGAAUAGAAUUAAAUUGGGAUUUUGCUGUGAAGAACAUUUUUAGAAUAAUAAAUAUUAUUGGGGAUAAGAGAGUAAAAUACUUGGUAAAAAAUAAUUGGCUUUUAAGCUAAAGAAAAAUUGGGAUCAACUAACUUUGUGGCAUUUGGAUUUUUUUAAGUCAGUUUUAAUUUUUUAAAGCUAUUUUCUUUUUUGACAAACAUUCCCAACAUCUGAAAAUGACUAACAACUAUUAAACCAAUCCAAACAUGCUCAUAAGCUUAUUGAAUAUGUUUAAAUAUUUGCAAGUCUGUCCUUGUUUAAUUACAUAUAUAUUUUUUAAAGAAUAUUGAAGUUCUGGUUGGUGCUUUUCAAAUUACUGCAAGGGACAAAACGUUUUGAAACAUUCUAUCUUUUUUAUUUUAUCUUGGUUAGUCGAGAAUUUGGAUGAAAUUGAACUUUUUAAAUUUGUCAAUUAAAUGUAGUGUAAGCUUAGUACUACGAAAAAAAAACUUACCAAAUAUAGUAAGUAAAAAUAAGGAAGAUAGAUAAACUAUAGCAAGAAAUAUCGCAUUUCUCUCUUACGUUGCUAAAGAACUAUGAAGCACAGCACACCCUCACUCUCCAUUCUUAUCACGACCUUUUUCUAGUGUGAAAUAUUAUAACUUGUACCUUUUCUUUAUGCACAAUUUAGGGAUUAUAUAAUUUGAUUCAAAAGAUAUUAAAAACUUUUUGAACAAAUCAAUCAAAGAUGAAGAAUAAAUUUUAGCUGAGAAUAAUAAUCUCUAGAAAGAACGAUAGAUAAAGAUAAGAUGGGUCACAAGACUUCUUUUACGAUCUACUUUUCUCAAAACCUUUUAAAAAUCUUCUCAUUCAUAAAUAGUAAUGUGCCAAAAUUCGGAAUUCCCCUUUACAAGGUUAUUGUCCUCUGUAUAUAUAAAGAGCGAGAUUCUUCUAAGCAGUAAAAGAUAAAUUACAAGGAAUUAUCGAAGGAAUACUUCUACUGUCUCCUAAUGGGCCUAUAUUGUUAAAAGGGUCGUCCAGUCUCUAGUUUAUCUUAGGGUCUUCUCCCUCAGGACAUCAAUUCAAGGAUACCCUAUCAAUCUUUAUACUCGUCAUCGGUCGUGAUUGGUAAAAAAUGGACCCAUACAGUUAGUCCCUCCGCUUGUAGGGGUAGCAACUGGGUACGCCCUCGUUGAGCGGACACCAUGCGUUCCCAUGGAGAAAUUUGAGUUGUUGAGCUGUUGAGACGUUACAAAGUGGCCAAUAGGGGACGGUCAGCGUGCUUAACAAAACACCAGGUAAUACAUUUUACCGGAAAAUAAUGUCAUCUUGCGUCAUUAUUGCGCAUGUUUUUGAGGCAAGAGUUGAUGGCUUGAUGCUUCGAUUCAAGCGAUACUCUGUGACCCUCCGCUUCGGUUCUGGCACCACCCAACCUUAUAAAUAGGUAAGGGUUUGUUUUUUCGAAAGUUUUUGGCUAUUUCACUCCUGAUAACCUCUCUUGUUCCUCUGAGAUUGCUCUCAUACCUUCCUGCUUCUUCUUCUUCUUGCGUUCUUCAUUCGUAGCUUCUUCCUUAUUCUUAUUUUGUAUUGAUAACUCUUUGAUCGAUAUCAUGCCAAGGUCUCAUCGUUCUCAUGAAGGGACUUCUGAGGCCACCCCUUUAUCCAUGACGCCCCCUUCAAGCAGCAAAGAUACGGUGGUAGAAGAGGGUGACAGCCCCCCAUACGGUGGAGGAAUUAUUACUGAGACACCCCAUGUCUCAAAGUGACUUCCUCAAAGACCCCCAUCCUACUCAUGCCCCCGUUGUUGAUAAUCAGUUUUUCCCUAUGUAUUCUUAUAUACAAAUUACUUUCAAAAUGGCAUGCACAACAUAUAUAAGUAUGCCCGAGAGUUUUGGUAUUAUUUUCUAUUUUUGUAAAAAAAUUUAAAAUCAAUGUAUUGCUCAUUUUUAGCAGUACAAAAUCAGUAAUUAUUUUCAAAACUCUAAAUUUAGGUAAAUAAUUUAUUUAUACCCAUAUUUACACCAAAAUAUAGUUAAGUUAAUUUUUGUAUAUUUUUUACUAAUUUAUUUAGUAAUUUUAAAACUAAAUUGCAUAUAAUUAUAAUUAUAGCCUACUUUAAGAUUAAUAGUAUUUUAUAUUUAUAAAAUAUAUUUUAGUAUUUUUAAAUUAAUAUUUAUAUAUUAUUAAUUAGUUCAAUACCUUUUAUUUUCUUUUAAACUAGUUUUUACUAUUUUUAUAAAAUAAAAGGAGAAAAUUGGCUAUUUAACAUUUAGCCCAUUUCUAUUUCAAUUACAACCCCCAUUUCAUUUCAAUUUUGGCCCUUAAUUCGACCCAAUUCUGCUCAAACCAGCCCAAUUCUAAUUAAUCCCCGCCCUAAUCCAUUUUAAACGACCCAACUCGUUCCCCACCUACCCACUUAAAGUUGGACCGUUGAUCACUCAGGAUCAACGACCAAAACCUACCCUUACCUUUUUAACUCCUAAACGACUACCCUAAUCUCCCUCAUUCUCACCUGAUCUGCCUCAUUUGAAACCUCUCGCCUCUCAAACACUCUCAAACUCUCUGAAACCCUAGCCUCCUCCUACCUUAUUUUACUGUAUUUCCACCGGAAUCCAUAGUGUUGCAGGCCAUGGAUGGUCUGUACUCACCCUUUGUCUCCAUUAGACCUAAGCUAUUCAAGGCUGUGAAUCAUGACUUCGAUCGUUCUCUUCAAGACCUUCUCAGAUUUGUAGAUCUAUGGCUUCUCAGGCCAUUAAUCCGUUGUAUUCAAGUAAUAUGAGUCUUUUCGACUCAAGAUCUGACUUUUCUCAAGACCUUUCUUAUUUCUAGGGAUUUCUCUGCAACCUUAAGCUGUCCGAGGUUCUUUACUUGCUUAUUUUCUUAGAUCUGGAACAUGUCUGUGUUCUAUUGGACUUUUUAAAAGAUUUUCCCCAAAUUCUCUUUUUAAAAUCGUUUAAUUUCGAUUGAGGUUUUCUGAAAGGUUUUCCAAAAAGCAUCAUUGUGAUUCUUUUGUUCUUUCUUUAUGUGUGUUCAUAUGUGUUAUGCUCGUAUGACUUCUUUUACUACGCAUGUACUGUUCUUCUACUUUCUUUUCUCCUGUGCUCAUAUGUUAAUCUUUGUUAUAUGUGUUUAUGGUUGAAUUCUUUGAUUUUGUUUGCGUUACUGGACUCUGUUUGUAUUCUUACUGAGCAUGAUUCCCUUUUUUUGCCUGAGUUUAUAUCUUUUUCUUCUGAACUUAUUUAAUUUAUGAGUUUUUUCUUAAAACGUGUUCUCAACUAUGUAUCUUGUUUGUUUGUUUCUCAUAAGUCUUUCGAAAAGACUCCCGAUCCUCUAUCAAGCGGCUUACCCUCUCAUCUCUAUUGUCUGACUCAAUUCGAAACUCUAAGAUUUGGGGGUUUCUUAGCAAUUUUGAUUCUUGUGUGCGAGUUAGGGUUCCUCUUUGGGACCAUGGACUCUCACACUCCUCGUAAGUCUACAAAUUGGACUAGUACCACUUUUUUCUCAUGUUUCUGAACCUUUCUUUUAUUAAACUCUCUUCGGAAUGACUUGACAAUCCCUUCUUGAUCCACUUAAUUGUGCGCUUUAUAUAUGAGAAACUCCUCUUUUGAAAGGUUUUUACCAACUAAUUAAUUGAUUCUGAAAUCUUUUUAAUAAGGCCUGACUGAUUUUUAUUGAUUUAUUUUGAUUGAACCUCCCUUUACCUUUCCUGACUUGGUUCAUUAGAAUUGAACUUAUAUUUUUUGUUUAACUAGCUGUUUGAUUGAUUCCCUUUCCAUAUUUGUCACAAACCGUGUGUCGUUGAUUGUUUUACUUAAUAACUUCUAUGUAUUUACCCCUUUUGUGCUAUCUUGAAAAGAUUUAAAUUAAAACUUCUAUCCUUAAUUGACUUUUACCCGUUGAAAUCAGAAUCCCUUAACAAAAGGGAGAUUGAUUUCAAUGUUAUUUCCUUACCCUUUUUUUUACUUGUUUUCUGCACUAUAAAAGGGAUUGCCAUUCUGCACUUUUAACACACCUCGAGUUCAAUACCUCAAACUUCUUACCUUCAAAUUACACAAUUACAUUAUUGCUUUGAGUUCAAUACUCUCUCAACACUCUGCUUUUAUGAGAUCUUCUAUAAUUGUUUGCUUACAAAUUGGCUUUUAAAGACUAUUGUUUUAUCUGUUUUCCUGAAAAUGGUAUGUCUGAUUUAAUUUUUCUGCCUCACCCCUAUGUGUUUACUUUAUUGUUUCAGCAUUCUUGUUUACUUUGUUGUUCAUGUUCAAUGAUUAAAUUAUGUAUGUUUUUUCCUCACAUCUAUUUUCUUAUUCCCCUCUAUGUGUCUGAGUUAAGGUUCUUGGCCUAGCAGUAUCCAAAUUACUGCCCAGGCCAGAAUCUGAUCCUAAAUGGAUCCUAACUCCUAAUAUUUGACCAACAGGCUGGUCAGGGGUGUGCCAGCACUCCUAAUUGCUGGGCAUGCUCACCAGCCUACCAUGGCUUUCCCUUACUCCCUCUCCAUGCACUUACACUUGCUCUUAGACUCUAAGUUCUGCCCCCUCCUAUGAGCCUUGCUUUGGGACCUUGAUUUCCCUCUAAACUUGGGACAUUUGAGGGAUGGCCUUUCCACACAACACUAUGAUCUAAUUCUGUAAUGUAUUUGGCAUGUAAGUACUGCCCGGAGCCCUUGGAGGUUCUUAGGGAAGUUUGACACAUCCCAAAUAAGAGAAAGGCUUUUGGAAAUCUGAUCCUGGAAGUUGGUUUAUGUCAUAUUGUUAGACCUUGGGUCAGAAUUAGGCUGUUUGGUUGUAGCUUGAAGUUCUGAUGUAAUUUUUUUAAUCUUUUCUCUAUUCAUUCGGGUCUGUAAUAAUUUGUAAUAACUAUUGGGGAUGGCUAGUGGAAAGGGAUAGGAAUGAUUGUAUGCAAAAGGUAUAUAACUUACCUAUAGGAUUUUCUAAUUCCUGCAUUCACAUAGACAACAUGCCUAUAGAUUAUUUAUAAAUUUCUGCAUUUCUGCAUAUAGAAAUCCUGUCUAUUAGUCUAUGUAUUUCUGCAUAUAGAAAUCAUGAUCAUAGGUUUUUAUGCACUUUUGCAUAUACCUAUCAUUAGGCAAACAAUCAUAUGUCUAAAAAUAAUCAGCUUCAUUCUAGAUACCAUGCCAAUAGGAGUCCUGCAUUUACGUAAUCGUUUUUAUAAUCAACAACGCUUAGAAAUCAUGCCCAUAGGAAUAAUCAAUUGAAUCAGCUUCUUAUAUUCCCUUUAUGAGUCUAAAAUCAGUAGUAACGUAGUUUAACACCUGCAAAACUUUGUUUAUAAAAUCAGUGUUCUCUCUUUAAAAUCAGUACGCUUUCUGCAAUAUUAGAUAUCAUGCCUAUAGGUCUCACCUAGGCAAACCAAUAGGUGAUUAAUUAACUGUGUCAAUUUUGAUAAAAUACAACCAGACGAGGCCUAAUUCGGACUUCUCAUCUGAGAAAUAUGUGAUAAAUUAGCCUAUCCUAACGCUUUAAUUAAUUCAUACUAUAACCAGUAUUUGAAGUCAUGCUAUAUAAUUUAAUUGAGGAGGCAUGUUUGAGCCUUAAUUGCUAUUUGUUUCCCCUUAACUGCUUAUGUGUUUUGCUUGCCGCCUUAGAUUUUUAUCCUUUUAAACUACUGAAAAUCCCAACUCCCUCCCCUUUAGGAUUAGUAGUUUCAAAUGCCUUCGGGACUGAUAGGAUGGGGACGGGUAAUAGUAUGCAACAAGUAAUGAUACCAUUUCGCGCUUUAAUACCGUACCGGGGUGGGAAGGAUAGAUAUAAACACGAUAACCGGUGCGCUAAUACCACGUGCAACCCCUCUUCUGAUGAGCGAUUGUUAGGUAUUGCAUUAGUAUGAUCCAUAUUAAUCGUAAACCUAGGACCCCCUCCCAUUUUACUUGUUUCCAUAUAUUUUUAGAAUUAGUUAAAUUAUUUUCUUAAAAUUUCUGCCCCUUUUACUUUGAUUGCAAUACUAUGUGAAAAAUCCUUCUGUUUGAGACCUUAUUUGCUUACUUGCUAUGUGAAGUCACAAUUAUAACAUGGUCGAAAACCACACUAGUGGAUCACGAGGGGUACCUAAUACCUUCCCCUCGGGAUAAUUUCUAGCCCUUACCCAAUAUCUGGUUCUUCAACUCAAACCCUUCUUAGUGUCCUAAUGCACUUUAAUCAUUAGGUAGCGGCUCUUCAAAUUCAAAAUCCAAUUCGCAAAAGGGAAUGAUUUAUCCUCCCAAAUGUCAUAAACCCGAUUUCAUUUUAGAAAAAGAGGGCGCGACACCCGUUCUUUCUGAGAUGGAAUGGGUUCACCUUGACGCUCUGCAUAUAAAAUAUAACAUCCCUGCUCAUAUUGACAUGAUUCUGAUGGGGGAAGAUUUUGUAGAUGUCCACAGGCUUGGGUAUUGUGCUUUCUACGUGUACCCUUUCGUGAUUGGCUACACCUUUCCUCUCUUACCCUUAGCAAAAGAGCCCUGUAGGUUCUGCUAAGUUUUCCUAGCACAACUUUCAACGUAUACUCUUAAGAUGCUCCUAAUGUUGACCAAAUAUGAGGAAUUGACAGAAUGUAAUAUUUCUGUCCACCACCUUUUUCACAUAUUCUCACCUAGCUUCCACAAAGAUUCCAUGGUGCAUUUGAGGGAUCGUGGCAUGAAAGGUUUGGUGGUCAGGACGCACAACCGAGCAAGUUGCAAGUUUUGGCCCAAGUAAUUCUUCAAAACCGAACGCAUUAUCUCCGACCCUGUCAGGUUCCCGGAGCGAUGUAUCGAAACUCGUAAGUGUCGCCACUCGUUUUAUUCUUCUUUCAUUUAUAUUCGUUAUAAAGUUUGUGUGCUUCUUAUUUGCAGCUAUGGGAUAUCCGCCCUGCCUUAUUGCGGGCAUAAGGGAUUGGAUAGCCCAUUUGUUAUCCCAAGUGGUGGAAACCCUUGAUUGGCCUUCCUUCGUAAAGCGUUAUAGCCCUAAAGUUCCAACUGGUAAGUGUUUUCCCUUUACACAUUCAUCAAUUAUAUAUCGUCGUCCAUUAAUUCGACUACUUUGUGAUGGUAGGUUGAGGAGCUUCAGGGCGAGGGCGCCAGUUCCCGCAUUUUGACAGAACCGUUGCCGCCGCGGACACACAAUUCAUUUUGAAUGAAUAUGUUCGGGAGGGUCAUCCUCAACCGUUCAAUUAGAAGGCCCAUCUCGGGUCAUGGUCAUAUGGAAUGAGGCUUUUUAAUGCCGGCCCCUACUCUUUGGACGAAUCCUCUAACGGGGAUGAGUCGUUAUGAAGAAAAAUGAGGAGAAUGGAGCUCGGGAAGGGUGUAGAUGUCGACACUGACAGAAGUAAAGCGUCGCAGACGGCACGUGUGCCCACUUUCAUGGCCGAUGCCAUAUUAUCGGGGAGAUCUCGUCACGGGGGAGGGGGGAGGGGUUGUCUAGGAGUCGGUUCUGUACGAUCUGCCGAGGGCGGCACAUCAUCCAAUGUUGGAGGCCUUGCGUCGAGGGUGAAUGCUUUGUCUCAAAUGUCGACCAGAAGAAAGUCAACGAGUUUAUAGGUUGCCAUACUCACGUAGAGGUCAGAGUGGAGGGGUCUUAUCGUCACAUAGACAUCCCUGGGGAUUAUAACUUACUGUCGAACUGUGAAUUAGUGACACUCAUUUUAGCUCCUCUAUGUGCCACCCCUAAAACUGAGGUGCUCAGGGCAAUGAGCGACGUAGAAUUGUCUUAGAACAUCACCGGUAUGGCUUCGCAUGUAGGUUCCUUUCUUUUUCUUUUUGUCAUUGGGCUUGUGCGGCGAUUGUCGACCUGUAUUUUGUUUUUAACUUCUCUUUUUCUUUUUUGCGAGACCAUCAUCCAGGAGACCGAACGCGAGCGCCGGGAAAGGAGGGGUGCGGCCAUAUAUGGGAAGAUGUCAUCCAAAUAUCAAUGGUAUCAAGCUAAGCACCGAGCUAUGGCCGACAUUUAUACUCAAGACCCCGACUUUCAGUUGUUUCACGAAAGGAUCAAACAUAUGGAGGAAAAAAUGGAGCGUUGUGAGCACGUGAUGCAUGAAAAUAACUCCUAAAAAUAGUCUAAAAAUAACUUUUGUUAAUUUUAGGAAUUUUUAUUUAUAUAUUUGCAUUUCAUGCAUUUUUAACAUUUUUUAAAUCAUAGGAAAAUCCUAAAAAAAAUUAUUUUUACAUGUUUAUCUUUUAGUCUUUAAAAUUAGCAUUUUUUCUUUAGUUUUAAGUUAAUUAGUUAUUUUAAAAUUAAAAAUAAAUAAAGAGUUUUAAUUUCUACAAAAAUAGAUUAAUUUAGGAUUUUAAUUUCUCAUAUUUUUAAUCAAAGAAAAAAAAAAUAAAAAUAAGAAUUUAAUUACAAUAAGAUUUUUAAUUAAGUAAUUGGGCUAUUUUAAAGCCGAAGCCAACCUAAACCACAAUUUUCUCGCCCAAUUCCUACACAAGCCAAGCCCAAAACCCCAAUUACACUAAACCUAGACUCUACUAUAAAGUACUGUUAGAAAAAAAAUCUGAAGGGGGGAGAAUAAGAAUUACACCUGAAAAGAUGAAAGCAGCGCAACUUUUGAUAUAGAACCCGCCCCCUUCAACAUCGUCUUCUGCAGACGACCCCAUCUUUCUUCUUCACCUCAAAAAUGAACCAACGAUCUAAGCUUCAGCAAACAAUAACUAGUCGUUCCCCUCAUCUGAAAAAAACAAUCUGCCGAUAAACACACACACGCGCACGGACAUCAGCGAAAAACAGAGGCGGAAAAAGGAAGAAAAUCGAGUCAAAUCAGCAGAAAUAUAGAGCUAAUCGCUGCUGCUUCUGCUUCUAUUUUAGCCUAAAAGUGCAUCUCCAAGCAAAUUAAGAGUAAUGAGUUGUGGAUGCUCGAAUUUGAGACACAUAUAGGUAUGUGGACAGUCCGUUUCGGUGUUUCUGUUCCAGUUUUCUUUUUGUCGUUGUAAUUGCUUGAAGGAUUCGCUUGAUUCAAGGUUGUAACUGUUGAAAUUUUGUUAAUCAGAGGGCUAUAAUUCAGGUUCAUCUCUUCCUUUUUGAGUCCCUUUAUUCUGAAAAUAACAAUGGAUCGAAAUAUGAUAACGACAUGGAAUUUGUUCAUAGCAUGAGGUAUUUUAAUAAAUUUUCCCGUAAAAUCUGAGUUGGAGUUAUAUUUAUGAUUUGUGUUUAAGAUGGAGGAUUUAUUAUAUAACUAUUUGACUGUUGUUUCUCGAUGUUAGAUUUGUUUUUCCAUUACUGUGUCCAUUUGACAGAUUUGAUGUGUUUGUUUGAGCGUUGGUAUGUAAAAAAUUGAUUUGGAUGGUAGUUUAUUACUGUUAUAGUUUUGUUAGUUAGCAAAUGUGGUGGUAGCCGUUUGAGUUCUUCAAAUUUGUUGAUUAUGGUGGUUGCAAAUGUUUUGAGUUCAUUUGGGAUGGUUAUGUCUGUUUCUUGAUUGAUUUGAUUUCUUGGUUGCCAAGGCAGGGGGUUUUAUGUAUGUAACCCAAAGUCAAAAAUUGGAUAAAUUACCCAAUAUUCCUAUU